rnacentral:rRNA from 1 species
GCUCACUGGCUCGAUACUGACGCUGUGGUGCGAAAGUGUGGGGAGCAAACAGGAUUAGAUACCCUGGUAGUCCACACCGUAAACGAUGAAUGCCAGUCGUCGGAUAGCAUGCUAUUCGGUGACACACCUAACGGAUUAAGCAUUCCGCCUGGGGAGUACGGCCGCAAGGUUAAAACUCAAAGAAAUUGACGGGGGCCCGCACAAGCGGUGGAGCAUGUGGUUUAAUUCGAAGCAACGCGCAGAACCUUACCAACCCUUGACAUCCUGGUCGCGGUUACGAGAGAUCGUUUCCUUCAGUUCGGCUGGACCAGUGACAGGUGCUGCAUGGCUGUCGUCAGCUCGUGUCGUGAGACGUUCGGUUAAGUCCGGCAACGAGCGCAACCCACAUCCCUAGUUGCCAGCAGUUCGGCUGGGCACUCUAUGGAAACUGCCCGUGAUAAGCGGGAGGAAGGUGUGGAUGACGUCAAGUCCUCAUGGCCCUUACGGGUUGGGCUACACACGUGCUACAAUGGUGGUGACAGUGGGUUAAUCCCCAAAAGCCAUCUCAGUUCGGAUUGUCGUCUGCAACUCGGCGGCAUGAAGUCGGAAUCGCUAGUAAUCGCGUAACAGCAUGACGCGGUGAAUACGUUCCCGGGCCUUGUACACACCGCCC